GCAGGCCUAAGACAUGCAAGUCGAGCGAGAAAGCCCUUCGGGGUGAGUAGAGCGGCGGACGGGUGAGUAACGCGUAGGAAUCUACCCAGUAGUGGGGGACAACUAGUGGAAACGCUAGCUAAUACCGCAUACGCCCUACGGGGGAAAGCGGGGGACCUUCGGGCCUCGUGCUAUCGGAUGAGCCUGCGUAAGAUUAGCUUGUUGGUGAGGUAAUGGCUCACCAAGGCGACGAUCUUUAGCUGGUCUGAGAGGAUGAUCAGCCACACCGGGACUGAGACACGGCCCGGACUCCUACGGGAGGCAGCAGUCGGGAAUAUUGCGCAAUGGGCGAAAGCCUGACGCAGCCAUGCCGCGUGUGUGAAGAAGGCCCUAGGGUUGUAAAGCACUUUCAAUUGGGAGGAAAAGCUAAUGGUUAAUAACCAAUAGCCCUGACGUUACCUUUAGAAGAAGCACCGGCUAACUCCGUGCCAGCAGCCGCGGUAAUACGGAGGGUGCAAGCGUUAAUCGGAAUUACUGGGCGUAAAGCGCGCGUAGGCGGUUUUUUAAGUCGAAUGUGAAAGCCCCGGGCUCAACCUGGGAACUGCAUCCGAUACUGGAAGACUAGAAUGCGGGAGAGGGAGGUAGAAUUCCAUGUGUAGCAGUGAAAUGCGUAGAUAUAUGGAGGAAUACCAGUGGCGAAGGCGGCCUCCUGGCUCGACAUUGACGCUGAGGUGCGAAAGCGUGGGGAGCAAACGGGAUUAGAUACCCCGGUAGUCCACGCCGUAAACGAUGUCUACUAGCUGUAGGGGUACUUGAGACCUUUGUAGCGCAGCUAACGCAAUAAGUAGACCGCCUGGGGAGUACGGCCGCAAGGUUAAACCUCAAAAUGAAUGACGG
rnacentral:rRNA from 1 species